AAAUCUUCCAUUGCUGCCUGCAGGAAGGACUCACACAAGACAAAGGUGUUUACUCAGCAACCCACACCACUGUGACUGUGCUUUUCUCCUUGAUGAUCAGGCUGAAACACCCCAAACUUCUCUGUAACCCUGCACAGGAAGGGCUGGAUUGGCCUAGUGGAACCAGCUUGAGAGCACUGGAGUUUGUAUAUGCAUCUGUGCCAGCAUGUCUGUGUGGAUUCAUGAUUUAUCUUUUAUCUUUGACACCUUUGUUCCAACAAUCCUUCAAUACAAAAUUGGUCUUGUGUUUGUACAUUCAUACAUCUCUCCCAUCAUACUCUUGUUACAAACUUUAUUAAUAACUUCUAGAGACACUUGAACUCUCCACCUCAUGGGUGUGAGACAAUGGCUCUGCAACAAUGCAGCUACAAGAAAAAAUAUUUUUGACAGAACUUAACAAAUAAUUCCUCUAUUUGACAUGUUUAUUCAUUUCUAAAGUCUUAAAAAUUCAUUAAUCUCUUACUCCUCUAAGUAGAAGCAGAAAAUAGAUACCUGUCAUUACAAGUUCAACUACAAAUAAACUUGGAAAGGUCUCCAGCUAGAUAUGAGUUAAUUUUGCUCCAUAUUUGGAUUGUUUUACUUUAUUAGUGGAAAAUAUUUUAAAAACUCACCGAAAAAUUGGAGCACAUCACCCACAUGUCUUCCUUAGAGCUGCCAGGCUUCUCUCUGCAGUGGAAGUCACUGAUCUUUUGGAUUGCUUACUUUAACCCAUAUCACAAUGUCUCCACCGGUGUUAAACUUUCAAUGAUUCUUUGUUACACUGCCUAGUAAACUCCACAUUGCCUGGCUGUUAAGCAGUGUAGAGAAUGAGAUAGAAGUCGCAUGCUGCCAACAGAGGAUGAAGCACCCCAAAAUGUUUUCCUCCACUCCUGGCAGUCUCAGAGAUAUUUUGGCAAACAGAGGUGAUUAAGUGGGUCUAAAUUCCCUGCCACAGUCCCUGGGAGUGAGAGAUUAAAGGAGCCAUCACUUCUGAGUGCCUGGGAAAUAUCUUUGCCAUCAGAGCACAGAGAGCUUGCCACUCCCUGGGGCAGAGCACGGGCACCAUCCACCUUCUGACUUCUGUGAGGCUGAAACUCAGACCUGCCUUAACCAUCUCAGCUCUACCCCAAAUAGCCUUGUCAAAACUGAGCCCAGAAGUCUAACACAGCUAACGAUAGUGCAAUUGGGCAACCUGCUCCUAUGGUAUUUGGCAGCAUUGUCACAGAAGAGAACAAUGUAUGAAGGGGAAUAUAACUAGAAGGACAAUAUAUUUUAUGGAAGUAGAAUGCAAUUAUUCAACUCAAAAUUAAUGAGUUAUCAGCCACAGUUGUUCCUUCAUCACCAAGCUGCUCUUUACUGACAGCAAGCAGAGAGGCCUUGGGCUUAUGUCAUAUCUUAAAGAAGCUGCUGUAUGUCUUUAAGGACCAUAAAAGGCAGAACUGUGGUUUUAUGUCUCAAGGCUGAUGUCCAUUUUCUGUACAUGAUUAAUGUGUUUUAUGAACAGUACUUUAGCCACAGAAGUAGGAGGAUAUUUGUCAAAAAAAAAAAAAAAAAUCUGAAGAGCACAGAAGAAUGAAUGAGUCUGACUAAGAUUUGGGAACAGAUAUUGCAUUUUCCUUUGAUGUUGUUUGUUCCUUUGUCUGGAUCUGUCUUUCAUGUGUUUGAAGACUAGUGUAAAACAAAUCAGGAAUCAUAAUAAAAAGUGCUCACUAACUUGC